rnacentral:rRNA from 1 species
UACGUAGGGGGCAAGCGUUGUUCGGAAUUACUGGGCGUAAAGGGCGCGUAGGCGGCACGGCAAGUCGGGAGUGAAGGGCCUGGGCUCAACCGAGGAACUGCUUUCGAGACUGCCGAGCUAGAGUGCGGAAGGGGCAACUGGAAUUCCCAGUGUAGCGGUGAAAUGCGUAGAUAUUGGGAAGAACACCUGAGGCGAAGGCGGGUUGCUGGGCCGACACUGACGCUGAGGCGCGAAAGCCAGGGGAGCAAACGGG